GACGAACGCUGGUGGCGUGCUUAACACAUGCAAGUCGAACGGAAAGGCCCUGCUUGCAGGGUACUCGAGUGGCGAACGGGUGAGUAACACGUGGGUGAUCUGCCCUGCACUUCGGGAUAAGCCUGGGAAACUGGGUCUAAUACCGGAUAGGAGCCAUUUUUAGUGUGAUGGUUGGAAAGUUUUUUCGGUGUAGGAUGAGCUCGCGGCCUAUCAGCUUGUUGGUGGGGUAAUGGCCUACCAAGGCGGCGACGGGUAGCCGGCCUGCGAGGGUGGACGGCCACAUUGGGACUGAGAGACGGCCCAGACUCCUACGGGAGGCAGCAGUGGGGAAUAUUGCACAAUGGGCGCAAGCCUGAUGCAGCGACGCCGCGUGGGGGAUGACGGCCUUCGGGUUGUAAACUCCUUUCGCUAGGGACGAAGCUUUUUGUGACGGUACCUAGAUAAGAAGCACCGGCUAACUACGUG
rnacentral:rRNA from 1 species